CGCGCCUGCGCGGCGCGGUGACGGCGCGGCCCCCGCCCGGCCUGGCCUCGUCGGCCUCUGUUUAGUUUCGGUUUCACAGGAUCACGGAGCUGACUGCGUCGGGAAACACCUCCGAGAUCACCGAGGCCAACCUGGGACCGGUCUCCACCUCGUCAAGCAGACCGUGGCACCGGGUGUCACGUUCAGUCUUUCCUUAAACACCUUGAGCGACGGCGACUCCACCGCGUCCCUGGGCAGCCCGUUCCAGUGUCUAACCACCCGCUGAAGAAAUCCUGCCUGAUGUCCAACCCGAACCUUCGCUGGCGCAGCUUGAGGCCACGUCCUCUUGUUCUGUCGAUUGAGGAGACCGAACCACACCUGGCUCUAACCUCUUUUCGGAGUCACUGGAGAAACAGGAUCAGCCUUCUGCUGACAGUGCCACAGGGGGCCGAGCUCUGAGAUGCAGCACUGAUCAGCACAGGGAGCAAAUGGAGCCUCAUACAACUGAUGCACUCGAGCUAAUCCCCUUCACAUUUUCUUUCUGACAGAUUAAUCACCUUUCACCCACCUGCAAGGAAGAUCAGAGUCAGAAUCUCAAAAGAUGACCUCAGCAGCUCUCUAGUCUGCGUCAAAGACUUUUCAAUUGUUGUUUAACCGUUAAAGAUGCCAGAGGACAGAAAGGAACAGAAAGGAACAAAAGCCAAUUUGCAUUGCACUGACUGCAGGGAGUAGGUACCAACUCAGUUAAACUACCUUCAUAUCCCCAAAUUUACAGGGCAUUUCAGACCAACUCAAGACUAAUUGCACUCCAGGGCUAGCAGAUCCUAGGGCUACUACAAUCAACUUUUUAAUUCUGACUGAAGAAUUAUCUCUGCGAAGCUGACUGAGAGUGGAGAAAAUGCCAUAAAGACUCCUACGUAAGGGACAGAAUGUGGCAUGAGGGCCACUGCCCACAGCACCUUCCAAACACACUUCCUUGCUACUGUGUUCAGGAGAUGCAACUAUGAGGUCUAAUGCCCAUCAUUUUCUCAAGCAACAUCCCAUCCUCUCUCCCACAAUCCAAAACGAUCUCCAUUGUCUCCCACAAUCCAAAACAAUCUCCAUGCUGUGCAACUAACAGGGCACUUAUAACAGUUGUUUUCUCAGACUCACAGCUUCUAAUACCUAGGUGACAAAACAGUAGCCUCAAUUUAUGCUGAGACACCACCAACAGACAACAGGCAUCCAUGAAACAUCAGAUAAGACAUCCCUUCACCAUUAGCGGUAUCAGUCAGGGUAGAGAGCAAUGCCCUUCAAUUGAUGCACUAUAUAUAUAUAUGUGUGUGUAUAUAUAUAUAUAUAUACAUAUAUCACAGUUAUAUUCUUUUGCACACCCUUCUUCAAAUAAAGUGAGAUACCCAGCUUAGUAUUACAAGUUGCACUCCAGGAGAAACAUCAGUUCUUUUGGAACAGGCAAGAAACAAGGAGUUCUGCGCUCCCCAGCUACCACAGGGAAGGGAUUGUUUUUCUUCUAAAACCACACAUUAAAACUGAAGAGCAAAAAGAGUCUUAUUUCAUGGGUUCUGUCUAACUUGUGCAUUGUAAUAAAAAGAGAAUCAGUAUCA